rnacentral:rRNA from 1 species
AACGAACGCUGGCGGCAGGCCUAACACAUGCAAGUCGAACGCUCCAGCAAUGGAGAGUGGCAGACGGGUGAGUAACGCGUGGGAACCUACCCUUUGGUUCGGAAUAGCUCAGGGAAACUUGAGGUAAUACCGGAUAAGCCCUUCGGGGGAAAGAUUUAUCGCCAAUGGAUGGGCCCGCGUCGGAUUAGCUAGUUGGUAGGGUAACGGCCUACCAAGGCGACGAUCCGUAGCUGGUCUGAGAGGAUGAUCAGCCACACUGGGACUGAGACACGGCCCAGACUCCUACGGGAGGCAGCAGUGGGGAAUAUUGGACAAUGGGCGCAAGCCUGAUCCAGCCAUGCCGCGUGAGUGACGAAGGUCUUCGGAUUGUAAAGCUCUUUUGGCGGGGAAGAUAAUGACGGUACCCGCAGAAUAAGCCCCGGCUAACUUCGUGCCAGCCGCCGCGGUAA